rnacentral:rRNA from 1 species
GGACAGAAAGACCCUAUGAAGCUUGACUGUAGCUUGUAAUUGAAUUCGGGCUUUUUUUGCGCAGACUAGGUGGGAGGCGAUGAUAAUUUUCUUCCGGGAAAAUUUUAGCCAUCCGUGAGAGACCACUCUGAGAAAGCUAGAAUCCUAAUGAUGCUCCUUGAAUCAGGACAUUUGACAGUUGCAGGUGGGCAGUUUUACUGGGGCGGUAGCCUCCUAAAAAGUAACGGAGGCGUGCAAAGGUUCCCUCAGGCUGGACGGAAAUCAGCUUAAGAGUGUAAAGGUAGAAGGGAGCUUGACUGCAAGACAAACAAGUCGAGCAGGGGCGAAAGCCGGCCUUAGUGAUCCGACGGUACCGCGUGGAAGGGCCGUCGCUCAACGGAUAAAAGUUACUCUAGGGAUAACAGGCUGA